GCUACAGGCUUAACACAUGCAAGUCGAGGGGCAGCAUGGUCUUAGCUUGCUAAGGCCGAUGGCGACCGGCGCACGGGUGAGUAACACGUAUCCAACCUGCCGUCUACUCUUGGACAGCCUUCUGAAAGGAAGAUUAAUACAAGAUGGCAUCAUGAGUCCACAUGUUCACAUGAUUAAAGGUAUUCCGGUAGACGAUGGGGAUGCGUUCCAUUAGAUAGUAGGCGGGGUAACGGCCCACCUAGUCUUCGAUGGAUAGGGGUUCUGAGAGGAAGGUCCCCCACAUUGGAACUGAGACACGGUCCAAACUCCUACGGGAGGCAGCAGUGAGGAAUAUUGGUCAAUGGGCGAGAGCCUGAACCAGCCAAGUAGCGUGAAGGAUGACUGCCCUAUGGGUUGUAAACUUCUUUUAUAAAGGAAUAAAGUCGGGUAUGCAUACCCGUUUGCAUGUACUUUAUGAAUAAGGAUCGGCUAACUCCGUGCCAGCAGCCGCGGUAAUACGGAGGAUCCGAGCGUUAUCCGGAUUUAUUGGGUUUAAAGGGAGCGUAGAUGGAUGUUUAAGUCAGUUGUGAAAGUUUGCGGCUCAACCGUAAAAUUGCAGUUGAUACUGGAUAUCUUGAGUGCAGUUGAGGCAGGCGGAAUUCGUGGUGUAGCGGUGAAAUGCUUAGAUAUCACGAAGAACUCCGAUUGCGAAGGCAGCCUGCUAAGCUGCAACUGACAUUGAGGCUCGAAAGUGUGGGUAUCAAACAGGAUUAGAUACCCUGGUAGUCCACACGGUAAACGAUGAAUACUCGCUGUUUGCGAUAUACUGCAAGCGGCCAAGCGAAAGCGUUAAGUAUUCCACCUGGGGAGUACGCCGGCAACGGUGAAACUCAAAGGAAUUGACGGGGGCCCGCACAAGCGGAGGAACAUGUGGUUUAAUUCGAUGAUACGCGAGGAACCUUACCCGGGCUUAAAUUGCAGAUGAAUUACGGUGAAAGCCGUAAGCCGCAAGGCAUCUGUGAAGGUGCUGCAUGGUUGUCGUCAGCUCGUGCCGUGAGGUGUCGGCUUAAGUGCCAUAACGAGCGCAACCCUUGUUGUCAGUUACUAACAGGUUCUGCUGAGGACUCUGACAAGACUGCCAUCGUAAGAUGUGAAGAAGGUGGGGAUGACGUCAAAUCAGCACGGCCCUUACGUCCGGGGCUACACACGUGUUACAAUGGGGGGUACAGAGGGCCGCUACCACGCGAGUGGAUGCCAAUCCCAAAAACCUCUCUCAGUUCGGACUGGAGUCUGCAACCCGACUCCACGAAGCUGGAUUCGCUAGUAAUCGCGCAUCAGCCACGGCGCGGUGAAUACGUUCCCGGGCCUUGUACACACCGCCCGUCAAGCCAUGGGAGCCGGGGGUACCUGAAGUGCGUAACCGCGAGGAGCGCCCUAGGGUAAAACUGGUGACUGGGGCUAAGU
rnacentral:rRNA from 1 species